UUCACCUGAUGUUCAUCUCUCCCUCUUUCAGUUUUUCAUUUCCACUGUGAGCGGUAACUGUAAACAUUUGUGUCUUCAGGAUUACCUUUCCAUCAGGGGAAUAAGGAAGUGUGAAAAGCAAUCUGAGCAACACCAGACCACCGAUACACAACUUCAGCGGAUGCAAUUAUGCCAAUGACAGAUCAUUUUCUGACCUUUAUCCCUCGGCCUGUAUGGAUGGCGGUUUGCCACUGUGACAGCCUGUUUUCUUUUUGUUUUUGUGCAACUUACAAUUAUGUGACAGCUGGAGACCCAGCUCUAAAAUGCUGAUCUGUUUGAAAGCUUGACUUUUUGUGCUGCUCUUUCUCCUUCCCUCUAUAUUUACUUUUGUUGUGUAUGUCUCUGUCAGUGUUAUUCUCAUUAUUUUGAUAUCGGUCUCUGCUCCCACUUCCUUUCUCUCCUCUUUAUCUUUUGUUCUCUCUCUCUAUCUCUAUCUUUCCAUCAGGUAUUCUCCAAAGGCUCAGUCCUGGACCAACCCAGAAUUUUUGUUCUGGUUGAUGCCUUCGUUCAAAUGAUUGGAGACCUGCUUGAGCUUUGUUAUGUGGGAUAUAAUUUGUCUUGGUCAGAUGACUGCAAGUAGCAGCGUGCCCAUUGGGAGGAGGAACAGCAGAGGGCCCUGCAACACUUUAGCUGCCUGGGGCCGAAGGUCACCUGCUGCCUGCUGAAUAUACGGAGCAACUUCCAACGCUGCCUAAUAUUCUGAAAUGUUGUUGGCACGGGCAUCCUGGACGUCAAAACACCACCUGGCACCAUGAUUACAACAGAGUGAAGUCAUUAAGGUGAAGACCUGACCCUGCAGCGACUCUUGCUCAUGCUGUCCCUCCCCCGCUCAUCUGACGCAUCACUAAAGAUCUUGGGAAAACGGGUCCACUGGCAGCAUAAGUGCUUCAGAAGACUCACUUCAUUUCUGAGACGAAGAAUAUCCUCGGGGGGGUCAGAGCAAGAGCACUGCCAUUGCUCCAGCAGCAAUGGAUGAGCUCACAGAGAAGGUGGCAGCAUGUCUUCAGGAUCCUCGCACCACUGCACCAGAGAGCCCCCAAGACCCCAGUAACGG